UUUUAUUAUAAUUUGGUUUGAUAUGACGUAAUUGAAAAAAUAAUGUAAUUAUGAUGAUAUUAUAAAUUUCAUUUCGUUAUUGGUAAUAUUAAGCCACAUAUAUUAUUUUUAACAAGUCAUGAAAAUGAAUGAAAAAAAAAAAAAUUGGGGCACUUCAAAGACCAAAAUACCCCAAACAAGUGAGGAAAGAAGAAACUGUCCUUGGUUUCGAAGAAACUGUCCUUGGCAAUAUCCCCAUUUCCCUUGGAAAGUAAAUUCCUCUACUGCCUCUAAAUUCUAAAAUUUCCGUCCUUUUCUCUCAGUCCCUCUUCAACUUCUUCCUGCACCACCACACGCUCGAAACCGCCGGUAACAUCAACCGGAAUCUUCUUCGUUCGAAAAUUCAGCAUCAAUUAUCCAAAUCAAUGUCGAGGGUUCUGUUUCCCUCUCCUCGCCACUGUUUCUCACUUAACGAUAUAUGCUUCAAAGUUUUUGAUUAUGGAAACUCAAGAUCCCAAUAAGAAGAUUCAGGACAAGAAGAUGCUCCCACCACCGAUUGGGAUUUUUCAGACUCGUGAAGAACUCCUCAAAGAUGUUCAUGACUUUCUGACACAGGGUUAUAUGGUAUCCAUUAAGGAUUCCUCCAAGGAUAGGUAUGUGACCAUUGCUUGUGAUCGAAGAGGUGUUUAUCGCAAAAGGCUUAAGACUGGUGAAAACAUGCAUCAAAGAAAGACAGCUUCUCGCUUAACAAAUUCUCCAUUUGAAGUUGUUGGCAAAAAGGAUGAAGACCUAUGGGCACUUAACGUUAAAAAUUUAGAACAUAAUCAUGAACCUUGAAAAGAUUUUACUGAGCAUCCUUCUUGUUCUUCGUUUUACGGAAGAAGAAGUAUUAACAAUAAGAGAUAUGACUGCAGCUGGUAAGUGACCAUGGCAAAUACUCAAGACCCUGAGGCAAAGAAAUCCUCAUCUUGUAUCAGAUUCAAGGAAUGUUUACAAUGUCAAAGCUGAGAUGCGUCGAGAGAGUUUAUCAGGUGAGGCAAAUAAACAUGAGGUAUAUUUCAUGAUGUCUUUUACCUUUUCAUGUGUUCCAUCAUCCCAUGUAACUUAAACUAGUCUAUGAUCCUAAUAGUUCUGCUUAGCUACCACUGCUUCCACAUGCGCGAUCAAAUACUUAAUAGAAGCUAGGAUGGUGGGUUCUGCAAUUUGCGUGGCUUAUAGAUUAUCAGGAAACAUUAAGUUUCUACUUUCUUCUUAGAAUAAGCAUGUUAGUUGUGAGAAGAUUUAGGCCUCUCUGUUGCAAAUGGAGCUAGAGUUUCGGGACAGGAUUAUCCACAUGUGCAAAUAACCUUAGUCAACUGAUUUUACUUUGUGGAACUCUUAAAUUCAGAUGUAGAAUAAGAAAUCGAAUAGAAAGAUUUGUGAGAGAUUGAAUUCCUAAUUUAGACAGGGUCUGGGGAUAUGUCACCUCUCCACACUUUUUCUACCAAAUGGGGCUGCUCUACGAAAUGGUGCCAUUGCAAAGUCUCUGAAUUACUGGCAGAUAUGGGGUAUAGGAGUACUAUGCAGCUGUUUCAACUGGCUGUGCAUUGUUGUAAUUGCUGGAUCUGUCAUACUGGGUCCUAUUUGUUUUGCAGGUUGCUUCCCUGCCAACGUCCAUGGCAAUUGGCAAACAUUAUAUACUAUUUUCAUUUUUC